GAGAGAGAGAGAGAGAGAGCAUGAAACUCCAUGUAACAAUUGACAAUUAACAUUUCAAGAAUGCGUUUCAUGUAAGAAUAAACUAACUACAUAAGUUGCGGGGAAUGGGGAUAAAAUUGAGACAUUUCAGUUAAAUCAAAAGUAAAAGGCCUCUUCAAGCAAAGAGUUUGUAUUUCAUUUGUUAGUGAACUCAACCACUGAUCCUCUUCUAACACCGAACAAAGCUCAAUUACUCACACGACACAUGCAGACAAGAAAAAGAAAAUCAGAAGAAAGAAAUAAAAAUAAGGUAAGAAAAUAAGUUUAGAUAACAUAAUUUUGAGUAGAUCCUGUGAUGCUCAUGAUUUUGAUACGAAAGUUUUUUAGGUUUUAGGCUAUCAUAUUUUACACCUGCAAGAAAGGAAGCCUAGCAGAUGAUUCCAAAAGAACAAGGACAUCGGGCGCAGAAGUAUAUUGCAGGCGCCAUGUCCCAUCCAACUUCACCAGGUCAAUUGGCGCACCCAUGUUGUAACCCUCCAAGCUCACCUGGCAGAGUUAUAGAAAACCAAUUUAAGAAAUUAUUGUUUAUCCAGUGCUGUCCAUUACUUGAGCACCAAAGGUAGAUGGAGAGGUAAACAAAAGCAAAAGCAGAGAAAGAAAGACCAAGAAUUUUUUGCAGAAAGAACAUGGGAGAAACAGACCAGAGUCUCUUCAAUGAGAGAGCGUUGAUCAGCAGUGGUAACAAGCCCUCGUUGUGUGUCUUGGACAGCUCUUAAUAGAUCAUGCUUUUUGUUCUCUAUGUCAAACUCAGAUACCCGACUCAUAUCGGUAGCUAUAGUUGCUGAACAAGGAAACUUUUUCCGAAAGGCCAUUUUUCUGGUCGCAUCAAGGUUUAAGCUAGAAGGCUUAAUCUUGAUAAAGGCUCUGUCUCCACUAGCUGGACAGAAGGAUGUAGAAAACGCCAGGUUCAUUUCUGCACGUAGCUGCGAGAAGCAGCGGUGAAGAGCUGUGAGAUUUUGGAGUUCCCCUUCUACCAGUUGAGGUCACAGGCUUCGUUACCCCAUUUCCCUUUCUUCUCUUGCCCUGGAGAGCUAAUAUCAGUGGGACCCGUUAGACAUAACUGACGACGCGG
rnacentral:misc_RNA from 1 species